GACGAACGCUGGCGGCGUGCUUAACACAUGCAAGUCGAACGGAAAGGCCCUGCUUUUGUGGGGUGCUCGAGUGGCGAACGGGUGAGUAACACGUGAGUAACCUGCCCUUGACUUUGGGAUAACUUCAGGAAACUGGGGCUAAUACCGGAUAGGAGCUCCUGCUGCAUGGUGGGGGUUGGAAAGUUUCGGCGGUUGGGGAUGGACUCGCGGCUUAUCAGCUUGUUGGUGGGGUAGUGGCUUACCAAGGCUUUGACGGGUAGCCGGCCUGAGAGGGUGAACGGCGACAUUGGGACUGAGAGACGGACCAGACUGCUACGGGAGGCAGCAGGGGGGAAUAUUGCACAAUGGGCGGAAGCGUGAUGCAGCAACGCCGCGUGCGGGAUGACGGCCUUCGGGUUGUAAACCGCUUUCGCCUGUGACGAAGCGUGAGUGACGGUAAUGGGUAAAGAAGCACCGGCUAACUACGUG
rnacentral:rRNA from 1 species